rnacentral:rRNA from 1 species
CCUACGGGGGGCAGCAGUAGGGAAUAUUGCUCAAUGGGGGAAACCCUGAAGCAGCAACGCCGCGUGGAGGAUGAAGGUUUUCGGAUUGUAAACUUCUUUUGUUAGAGAAGAUAAUGACGUUAUCUAACGAAUAAUCACCGGCUAACGCCGUGCCAGCAGCCGCGGGAAUACGGAGGGUGCAAGCGUUACUCGGAAUCACUGGGCGUAAAGGGCGCGUAGGCGGGAGAGCAAGUCAGAUGUGAAAUCCUAUGGCUUAACCCUAGAACUGCAUUUGAUACUGAUAUUCUAGAGUAUGGGAGAGGUAGGUGGAAUUAUUGGUGUAGGGGUAAAAUGCGUAGAGAUCAAGAAGAAUACUGAUUGCGAAGGCGACCUGCUAGAACAUUACUGACGCUGAUGCGCGAAAGCGUGGGGAGCAAACAGGAUUAGAUACCCCAGUAGUC